rnacentral:tRNA from 1 species
GCAGAUGUAGCUCAGUGGUAGAGCAUAUGUAUAGUAUGCAUAGGAAUGGGGUUUGAUGCCCAACUCCUCCA